UUUGCGCUUCAGAGUCUGCAAAGGAGAUUGCGAGUCGCCGACAUCUCUGGAGGGCCGCGUGAAGCGAGUCGCCGUCGCUCCGACGGGGCCCCUUCGGCUACAAGAUUCCGUCCUCUGACUCCUCCGCCUAUGGCUGCCGGCCGGCUCUUCCCUCGAUCUCCAAUGCUUCCCGUUUAGGCAGCAGAAUUGAUCCUGGACCUCCUCCUCCUGAUGGUCUUCUUCUUCUUAGCCCUCACCCUCACCCUCUUCCUUUACCUGGGUGUCGAGUUCCCCAGGGCUUCCCCUCUCCUGUCGCCGCCGCCCAACAGGGCGUCAAUUUUCGUGGGUCGCAUCCUCCAUCACAGAUCGCUUCAUCGAUUAACUUUAUUUCUUUUGGCGGAAUACUUAUGGUAGUGCGAUUAAGCUGAUCCCUGAGAGGACGAAGUUUGGGGUUGCACUCGCGCGAUCUGCCGUAGAGCUCCAGGAGCGGCAGCAGUCUGUUCGAUUAGCUAGCUACUGACUCUAAAAGUGAGCAACCAAAUAAGGGAUUUAUGAUUGCUGCAUUUGCAAAAAAGCCAAGAACCACCAGCCUGUUUUGGGUGUUUCAUAAGUAGAUGCAUGAAUCAUCAUGUUGCAACAUCCAUGGAUGUUGCAUGAAGUCUUGCAAUUGCAAUCUACUUCAUCAUAUACAGGCAUGGUUUACCUUGGUGUCGAGUAACUGGAACAAAAGGAAUUUUUGCUGGCUCUUGAAGUCGCGGAGAAAGGUCUUUGAUUUCUAGAAGAUGGAUUGUGGACUGGAGCUGCUUCCAACAGAUAUAGGUGUUCUUAUGACCAACACCAGUAUAAAAUACAAUCAUCAUCCAAGUUGCUGCAAUGAUUGAAUGUCACUCAAUGAAAAACCAAUGGUGAGCUCCUUUGGAGGAGAGGGAGAGUUUAAUACUGGAGACCUUUGGCGGUUGGAGAUCGAGAGAAGUGGGAAAACAUGUAGACUAGACCAAAGGGUAAGACUGCAUCAUGUUGAUACUGGCGGUUAUCGACACAAGCAUGACGAGAUAUACGCGAAAAUGGACCACACAAAUCUCGGUUUCCAAGUGUCUUACUUAAAAAAAAAAAAAGAAUAAAUAAAACAACAUCACAAGAAAACUCCAGUGGAUGAGUCUCUUGAAUUUGUCAGAAGCAAUCUAUUAAUGUCCGGUUAGCGGAGCUGAGACUUUAUCUUUCGAUCAAUACAACCAAGUGAUGUGCUACAGAAAUAUUUUCUGCAUUACUUGCUGCUGGAGUGACUUCCAAAUGUAACUGACCUGAAAGCUUCAAUAAGAUGGCCUAUUGAGCUUGUGCACAUUCACCAGCAUGUCGAUCGUGAUAGUUCUCACAUGCAGCAACAUGACAGCAGCUAUUGAAGCGAUGAUUCGGAGUUAGCAUGAAGAAACUCUGUUAUUGGCAGUUUGUUCAAUCUCGAAGGAUCAGCAUAAAUCGCAUUGACUUGUGGACUGCCCUUCUCGGUAGAUCUCAGGCCCAAACUGCCAAGUUUGAGUCUUCUGCAAGUGAACGUCGUCAAUCUUUGGGCUCGACCUAUCGUUGAUGAAGUCCUCAGAAACGAAACCAUAAUUUCCCUCCUCUAUAAUCAAAGCUUUCAGCUCACGGGCUGUUCGGCAAAGGACUGCGAGGCUGCAGGGCUGGUCGGCUUAAUUUCCUGGCGCUCUCCAACCCUCUCCUCGCUGCUGUCAGAGGGUUAUCAAAUCAUAGCUGCCCAUCUCUAAUGCAGCAGGAAAACGAAGACUGAUAAGGCAGCUCGUGAGGCGAUGGUGAAUCCCACACACAAGCCGGGCCACCAACUUUUCGCUGAUCGAUGCUUUUAUCACUGCUGCUGCUACUGCUAUUACUGUUACCACUACUAUUUUUAUACAAAGCGAAUGUAUGAUAGAGGUGCUUCAUGUGAUGAUACAAAGAGGAGAGAUAUCAAAAUUUUCCUUGGAUGGUCCUCGUCUGAUGAGCCAGAAGGAAACCACAAGACCCAUCCCAUUUGCAAUUAUGUUGCUAUCUGAACGAAGAGGAGACUACUAAAGUGACUUCAACGUUUCUCCACGGAAAUAAAGGCGAUGGUACCGGUCCUUGACUUUCAUUUCCCAUGAACUGGUCCAAGGUUCGUGUACGUCUUCAUCAAUGGUGGAAAACUUAUCGAUUCCCAGUGAUCUGCUUGCCCUACAUGACUACGACAGGUAAGGAAACAACAGGCACUCUCGUGUGUAUGUAUGUGUGGCGUCCUAUUGAUUUCCCCACUGUCGAUGCUGCCAAAAUCAUUUUUAGAUAUUCAAAGGACAACAACGCAUGGCGUUUUCUCUCACGACAAGAUUUACAUUAUUGCUCACCUGUUAUUCAUAUAAUUUACUGCAUAAUCUAACAAAAUAAACAGAUAUGAGAUAAAUCAAUCCCCUUGAAACAAUGGGAUUUGAUCCUUUACUAUGUAUACUUGCUCGGGGAAAAGUUGAUUCCCAGCAUCAAUCCAAUUUACAUGGAAUUGAUGGAUGUUUGUUAA